AUCUCCUUCAUGGACAUCUCAUAAAAUUAGAACGAUACAAAGAAGAUUAGUGUGACUCCUAAGCUAGGAUUACACGUAUGAAUCGUAAAAUAGUUCCUCCUCCG